UACGUAGGCAGCGAGCGUUGUUCGGAAUUACUGGGCGUAAAGAAUGUGUAGGUGGUGCUCUAAGUUUGGUGUGAAAUCUCCCGGCUCAACCGGGAGGGUGCAUCGAAAACUGGAGUGCUAGAGGAUGGGAGAGGCAAGCGGAAUUCCUGGUGUAGCGGUGAAAUGCGUAGAUAUCAGGAGGAACACCUGUGGUGUAGACAGCUUGCUGGACCAUUUCUGACACUGAGACACGAAAGCGUGGGUAGCAAACAGG
rnacentral:rRNA from 1 species